rnacentral:rRNA from 1 species
UGGGGAAUUUUGGGCAAUGGGGGAAACCCUGACCCAGCAACGCCGCGUGAAGGAUGAAGUAUUUCGGUAUGUAAAUUUCGAAAGAAUAGGAAGAAUAAAUGACGGUACUAUUUAUAAGGUCCGGCUAACUACGUGCCAGCAGCCGCGGUAAUACGUAGGGACCAAGCGUUGUUCGGAUUUACUGGGCGUAAAGGGCGCGUAGGCGGCAUGACAAGUCACUUGUGAAAUCUCUGGGCUUAACCCAGAACGGCCAAGUGAUACUGUCGCGCUAGAGUGCAGAAGGGGCAAUCGGAAUUCUUGGUGUAGCGGUGAAAUGCGUAGAUAUCAAGAGGAACACCUGAGGUGAAGACGGGUUGCUGGGCUGACACUGACGCUGAGGCGCGAAAGCCAGGGGAGCAAACGGGAUUAGAUACCCACGUAGUCCCUGAGCGGGCUGGCAAGGCGCAU